rnacentral:rRNA from 1 species
GAAUUUUCCGCAAUGGGCGAAAGCCUGACCCAGCAACGCCGCGUGAAGGAUGAAGUAUUUCGGUAUGUAAACUUCGAAAGAAUGGGAAGAAUAAAUGACGGUACCAUUUAUAAGCUCCGGCUAACUACGUGCCAGCAGCCGCGGUAAUACGUAGGGAGCAAGCGUGGUUCGGAUUUACUGGGCGUAAAGGGCGCGUAGGCGGCCACCGCAAGUCGACUGUGAAAUCUCCGGGCUUAACCCGGAAAGGUCAGCCGAUACUGCGGGGCUAGAGUGCAGAAGGGGCAACUGGAAUUCUCGGUGUAGCGGUGAAAUGCGUAGAUAUCGAGAGGAACACCUGCGGCGAAGGCGGGUUGCUGGGCUGACACUGACGCUGAGGCGCGAAAGCUAGGGGAGCGAACGGG